GUGGGGAAUAUUGGACAAUGGGGGGAACCCUGAUCCAGCCAUGCCGCGUGUGUGAAGAAGGCCUUUUGGUUGUAAAGCACUUUAAGCGAGGAGGAGGCUACCGAGAUUAAUACUCUUGGAUAGUGGACGUUACUCGCAGAAUAAGCACCGGCUAACGCUGUGCCAGCAGCCGCGGUAAUACAGAGGGUGCAAGCGUUAAUCGGAUUUACUGGGCGUAAAGCGCGCGUAGGUGGCCAAUUAAGUCAAAUGUGAAAUCCCCGAGCUUAACUUGGGAAUUGCAUUCGAUACUGGUUGGCUAGAGUAUGGGAGAGGAUGGUAGAAUUCCAGGUGUAGCGGUGAAAUGCGUAGAGAUCUGGAGGAAUACCGAUGGCGAAGGCAGCCAUCUGGCCUAAUACUGACACUGAGGUGCGAAAGCAUGGGGAGCAAACAGGAUUAGAUACCCCGGUAGUCC
rnacentral:rRNA from 1 species